GGUACCUGUUUGGGCCACAGCAGCUGUUUGGGGUGAGGAUGGCUGGCCUCCUGGGUCAUCAGCUCAGCUCAGCUGAACAUGAUCCUUCUGGGCUGAGGUCAAGUGGGUGAAAUGACGGGGCUCUUCUCAGCCACCCCUGAGAGCACCUUACUACCAGCACCUCACUACCUAGAGCCAGCCCCUUGAGAUCCAGGUGAGCCUGGGCCAGAGAAAAAGCCCAUCUUGCAUAUAAACUGAGGCUCAGGAAGCCCCCGAAUGUGUUCACCAGUCUCUGCAGGAGAGAGCAAAGGUACAGCCCAGCCCUGCCUGGACCUGUCUCCUUCACAAGCCCACCCAAGGCCUGAUCCUCCAAAACUAGAUUUGCUGUGGAGGAACGGCACAGAGUCAAGCUACUUUCAGGCUCUGCACCCCAGCUCCGUGCCCCAGUGCACCACUGAAAUGUCACAGAGACUUGUGCAGGAAGAGCAGCCUGUGUCUUUACAGGCAGGGUCAGGGCAACCAGAGGAACUGUGGGACCAGGCUGUGCAGUUGGACCCAACCAACCCACAUCUAUCACAUCCCCCCCAGCCAGCCUCGUAGAGGGAGGCUGUUGCCUGGGCACUGUGUGGCUCUUGAGGGUGCCCUGGGAGCCGGAGGCAGGUCUGGAAGGGGAGGCGGAAGCUCAAGGGAUGUGGUCUCAGCAGGUACCUGCUCUCAACCUGGAAACUGGAAGCUUGGGAAGUGGCCGCCCAACGAAGCCGAGCAGCUGACCGAGGUGAAGUUCUCAGGGGGCAGCCUCGGUCUCCUCCUCUGCACAGUGGGUCU
rnacentral:lncRNA from 1 species